AACGAACGCUGGCGGCGUGCCUAACACAUGCAAGUCGAGCGAUGAAACCCUUCGGGGUGGAUUAGCGGCGGACGGGUGAGUAACACGUGGGUAACCUACCUCAAAGAGGGGGAUAGCCUCCCGAAAGGGAGAUUAAUACCGCAUAACAUUAGUUUUUCGCAUGGAGAACUAAUUAAAGGAGUAAUCCGCUUUGAGAUGGACCCGCGGCGCAUUAGCUAGUUAGUGAGGUAAAGGCUCACCAAGGCGACGAUGCGUAGCCGACCUGGGAGGGUGAUCGGCCACAUUGGAACUGAGACACGGUCCAGACUCCUACGGGAGGCAGCAGUGGGGAAUAUUGCACAAUGGGCGAAAGCCUGAUGCAGCAACGCCGCGUGAGUGAUGAAGGCCUUCGGGUUGUAAAGCUCUGUCUUUUGGGACGAUAAUGACGGUACCAAAGGAGGAAGCCACGGCUAACUACGUGCCAGCCGCCGCGGUAAUAC
rnacentral:rRNA from 1 species